CAGGCCUAACACAUGCAAGUCGAACGCGAAAGUCCCCGCAAGGGGGCGAGUAGAGUGGCGCACGGGUGAGUAACACGUGGGUAAUCUACCUGGAAAUGGGGAAUAACCCGCCGAAAGGCGGGCUAAUACCGCAUAACCUCCUGGGGGCGCAGGCCCCGGGGAGCAAAGGAGCAAUUCGUUUCCGGAGGAGCCCGCGGCCGAUUAGCUAGUUGGCGGGGUAACGGCCCACCAAGGCGAUGAUCGGUAUCCGGCCUGAGAGGGCGCACGGACACACUGGAACUGAAACACGGUCCAGACUCCUACGGGGGGCAGCAGUGGGGAAUUUUGCGCAAUGGGGGCAACCCUGACGCAGCAACGCCGCGUGGAGGAUGAAGGGCUUCGGCUUGUAAACUCCUUUCGGCCGGGACGAGCAGAAGACGGUACCGGCGGAAGAAGCCCCGGCUAACUACGUGCCAGCAGCCGCGGUAAUACGUAGGGGGCGAGCGUUGUUCGGAAUUAUUGGGCGUAAAGCGCGUGUAGGCGGUUCGGUGAGGCGGAUGUGAAAUCCCCGGGCUCAACCCGGGAUCGACAUCCGCGACUGCCGGGCUAGAGGACAGGAGGGGAGAGCGGAAUUCCCGGUGUAGCAGUGAAACGCGUAGAUAUCGGGAGGAACACCCGUGGCGAAGGCGGCUCUCUGGACUGUUUCUGACGCUGAGACGCGAAAGCUAGGGGAGCAAACAGGAUUAGAUACCCUGGUAGUCCUAGCUGUAAACGAUGGAUGCUGGGUGUGAGCACUUCAUUGUGUUCGUGCCGGCGCUAACGCAUUAAGCAUCCCGCCUGGGGAGUACGGUCGCAAGGCUGAAACUCAAAGGAAUUGACGGGGGCCCGCACAAGCGGUGGAGCAUGUGGUUCAAUUCGACGCAACGCGAAGAACCUUACCUGGGCUCGAAAUGGCGGCGACUGGGGUGGAAACAUCCCUUCCCCGCAAGGGGCGCCGUUAUAGGUGCUGCAUGGCUGUCGUCAGCUCGCGUCGUGAGAUGUUGGGUUAAGUCCCGCAACGAGCGCAACCCUUAUCCUUAGUUGCCAACGGGUUAUGCCGGGAACUCUAGGGAAACCGCCUCGGAUAACGGGGAGGAAGGUGGGGAUGACGUCAAGUCCUCAUGGCCUUUAUGUCCAGGGCUACACACGUGCUACAAUGGCCGGUACAGACCGUCGCAAACCCGCGAGGGGGAGCUAAUCGGACAAAACCGGCCUCAGUUCGGAUUGCAGUCUGCAACUCGACUGCAUGAAGCUGGAAUCGCUAGUAAUCGCGGAUCAGCAUGCCGCGGUGAAUACGUUCCCGGGCCUUGUACACACCGCCC
rnacentral:rRNA from 1 species